UCCUCCAUAGCUCAAUGGUUAGAGCGUCCAACAGGCACCUGGAAGGUCAUGGGUUCAAUUCCCGAUGGGGAGCUCAGAA
rnacentral:tRNA from 1 species